UACGGGGGGGGCAAGCGUUGUUCGGAUUCACUGGGCGUAAAGGGUGCGUAGGUGGUGAGGUAAGUCGGAUGUGAAAGCUCGGAGCUCAACUCCGAAAUGGCAUUGGAAACUACCUUGCUCGAGGGUUGGAGGGGGGACUGGAAUACUUGGUGUAGCAGUGAAAUGCGUAGAUAUCAAGUGGAACACCAGUGGCGAAGGCGAGUCCCUGGACAACUCCUGACACUGAGGCACGAAAGCUAGGGGAGCAAACAGG
rnacentral:rRNA from 1 species